UGUGGGCUGAGAGGUGAUUAAGUGCUCCGUAGUAUAACCAGCAGACAAGUCUUUCCUCUCUCCUUCCUAUUUCAACUAAAUUGAACCUCAUCCUAAGCCUUAAACUGAAGGGGAGCAUUAGGAAACAUGUGUGCAAAGGAGGAAUGAGGAAUGUGUGUUUCUCCCAUCAACCCCAGCCAACAUGGUAAGUGAUCAAAGACUAUGGGAGUUUAGUUUCAGCAACAUUUGGAGGGCCACAGAUUUCCCCUCCCAGGUUAAAGAUUACAAAAUGCUGAGUAUUGGUCCUCUCAUUUCUGAACGAUUUCCUGUUUCUCCACAAGCUGCCCUUUAUUGACAUUGAUGGUAAUUCCUCCUCCCGGUCUUUCAGAUUUGCUUCUGACCUUUUCAUGGUCCUGUUAUUUGUUUGACUUUGAUCCAUCUUGAUACGUCAUAGACUUUGUUCCAUAAAAUUGUGUCUUGUUUGCCCUGACAAAUGUCCCUGUAGCUCAAGGAUGGGGAGUCUGUUUCUCUCUAGAUAUUGUUGCACCACCAUUCUGAUCACACCUGUUGUUGGCUGAGGCUGGUGUGAGCUGGCAUCAAACAACGUCUGGAGGGCCUUCCUAUUUAUUCAUUUAAAAAUAUUUAUAAAAAGUAUUUAUAUAGCGUAUUUAUUUAUAAAAAGUAUUUAUAUAGUGUCUCUUAGGCAAACAUCUCAUACUUUUCAUAACCUUAAUACAACAGAAUGCAUUAAAAUAUUAUAAAUUAAACAAGCACUAUUGAUAGUCAGAAUUGUUUUUACAAUGAAUGGUUGGCAUCAAUAACCAGCAAAAGCCUCAAUAGAAAGGUAACGUUUCAACCUGUGCUCAGAUUGCUCCACUUUUGCUCCUCCUUCCUAGGGAAUGGGAUUAACCCCGAGUCAGCCCAAUACAUUUUGUGACCUGAGGUGAACUAUAGAAUGGUGCCCCACCACUAUGUCAUUUUCCUACCAAGGAAAGGUUUUCUGUCACAUGCGCCCAAGCACAUGGGAAGAAAAGCCAGUGUUGUCCAACUGUGCGUGCACUUGCUUACUUUAUUUCCAGUUAGGAGAAUGUACCACCAGCUCCACAAGGACACCCGUAGCCAAAGAUGCCCUGUCAGUUUACUGACCUAAAUGCAACGCACCACACAAUGGGAGAGCAAGCAAGCACGAAAGCAAGGCUAACACACACAAAAGGAAGCAGCUCAUCAUUCCACACAUCCUGGAUUAAAGUGGAGACAGAUUCAGGUAGGUAGCUGAAGAAGAUUCAGGUAGGUCUGAAAAAGUGUGCAUGCACACAAAAGCUCAUACCAAGAACAAACUUAGUUGGUCUCUAAGGUGUUACUGGGCAAUGAAAAAAAUUUAUAUAUAUAUUUCUAAAGCGGAGAAACUCACUCACAUUGCUCUUGAUCACUAGCUGGCAGCAAGCAAACAGGAGUGCUUUGCAGAUUUGCAGCAAACCAUUCUCGUGGUGCUGCGUGAACGGAACCACUGCAUGCUUCCCUCAGUUAUGUAAAUUAAUGUAGUUCCACUAGACUAAGCUAAAAGGACAUAGACAGAGUUACCAAAGCUUGACUUUCAAAAAGAAAACCAAGAUAUUUGGGCUAAGAAAACUGUGAUCUUUUGGCAUCAGACAGCUUAUGCAAUGUAACAACAUCACGUACCCUCAGACCAAUCUCUAGAUGGGAAGGUAUUCUAAAAAUAUGCAUGAUUAAUCCAAUUGCACAUGCGUCAUACCGCUCUUACAAGUGUAUCACACAGACAAAAAAUAAAUAAGCUUCUGAGUGCAUGUGUGAAGCUUUCCUGGCUAAAAAUCACACUUCGCACAAAUGCUUCUUUCUUACAGUAUCAAGCAGUCCUUUCAAAUAACUAACAAAAGCCUGAGUUUGGAACAAAAACGAGUUCAAACUGAUAUCAGCAGCUCCUAACAGUCAUCACUAAACAACUUUUUUUAGAUUUCAGGUGUGAUCUAACUUCAGUAAUGGAAAUCAAAGUAUGUUUAUAUUGGUUUCUGUGACAGCUAGGUGAUAGUUUGGAUAAUGAAUGGACUAUAUUAUUGAUAAUCUUGGGACUGACAUGACAAAGUCAUAUUGGUAACAUUUGAUACAACAGUUGAUCCACUGCUUCAUAAUGGCUUCCUGUGUUAUAUACAAAAUAACUAUCAAUAAUACACAGAGCAAAUCAGCAAAAUUUUAAAAACAAGUAUGUAUACAUAACUAUAUUACAUGUCUGGGUGGGCUUGCUGGAAUAAACAGAAGUCUUUAGCAGGCAUCUAAAACAAUAUAUAGCUUUGGUGCCUGCCUAAUGUUUAAUAGGCAAGUUUUCAGAAGUACCGGGGGGGGGGAUCCCUAAGCAGAAAGUAUGUGUGUGUGUGUGUGUGUGUGUGUGUGUGUGUGUGUGUGAUAGAAUGGAAUGGAGUAUCCUGAAGAGGGCAUGACUGGCUGGACACUUUGAACAGCAGCACUCCACACGACAACCUUUUUUCUUCUUUCUUGCAGGUCUCACUUGUAUAUCUAAAUAAAUUUUACCCAUAGGUGCUCAGACAGAACUGGCUAACAUUUUGUGACAAGAGUCAGCAUCCCCCAAAUGCUACCUACCAUACAAAUAAAUAUUUGCUGAGCUAAUGGACCAACAAUAAGAGCGGUAACAUUCCUUUCAUGAUUCCUGAACAGGAAUGGGAAGCGGCAUGUAAGGAUUAGCCUUGUCCAUGGGCCACUGUUACUUCCUGUGACCUCCCAGCAUUCUUCAGCAACUGAGAAGGUAUAGGACACUGAAACCAGGGUCAUUCAUGUCAGCUGUGCCUACUGUUUGAGAGGAGUCACAUAUAGCACUUGUGCAUGGCAGAGUCAGCUGGAAAUGUCAGAGCAAAAAUAGGCUCAGCUUGCCUAUUGUUAACUAGGUGCAAAUUCCUGCUUUUCCUGUACAGUAGACAUUGCUCAGAUUGCUUACAUUGUUCAUAAAGAAAGAGUC